rnacentral:lncRNA from 1 species
GAGCCGGGACCGAGCGAGCCGGCGAGCGACCGAGGUAAAGGUAUCGCGCCUUAGUCAGAGGCCACCAAAGUUGGGUUACAUUUUGUUAGUAGACACCCUUUUAUCAUCUUUGUACUUGAUGAUUAGUGAUGUAAAGAAAGAAUGAAAAGCUUAUUUUGAGGUAUAUGUGAUGUAAGAAAAAAAAAAUGAUGAAAUUAUGUAAUGAAAUGCAAAGAAU